rnacentral:rRNA from 1 species
UACAGAGGUCCCGAGCGUUGUUCGGAUUCACUGAGCAUAAAGAAUGCGUAGAUGAUGAGAUAAGUCGAAUGUGAAAUCUCCGAGCUCAACUCGGAAAUGGCAUUGGAAACUACCUUGCUUGAGGGUUGGAAAGAGGACUGGAAUACUUGGUGUAGCAGUGAAAUGCGUAGAUAUCAAGUGGAACACCAGUGGCGAAGGCGAGUCCCUGGACAACUCCUGACACUGAGGCACGAAAGCUAGGGGAGCAAACAGG